GCCUAGUUAGCUUAGUUUGGUAGUGCGUCCGCCUUGGUAAGCGCUAGGCCGCGGGUUCGAUUCCCGCCCGGGGCG
rnacentral:tRNA from 1 species